UGAAUUUGUUGUUUCUGGACACUUGCCUGUUGAAGAAAUGGUUGUUGUGGUUGAAAUUGGUGAUGUUGUUGUUGAAACUGCUGCUGUGUAUGAGAAUCAAUGAUGUUUUCCCUGGAAGAUAGUGGAGGUUGGAAAUUCAUCUUAUCCGACCCAUCAAUUAGGGGAGGGUGAGUGCCCUGUUGAGUUCCAUGAAAAUUUGAUUGGUUACCGG
rnacentral:misc_RNA from 1 species